rnacentral:rRNA from 1 species
UGGGGAAUUUUGGACAAUGGGGGAAACCCUGAUCCAGCCAUCCCGCGUGUGCGAUGAAGGCCUUCGGGUUGUAAAGCACUUUUGGCAGGAAAGAAACGUCAUGGGUUAAUACCCCGUGAAACUGACGGUACCUGCAGAAUAAGCACCGGCUAACUACGUGACAGCAGCCGCGGUAAUACGUAGGGUGCAAGCGUUAAUCGGAAUUACUGGGCGUAAAGCGUGCGCAGGCGGUUCGGAAAGAAAGAUGUGAAAUCCCAGAGCUCAACUUUGGAACUGCAUUUUUAACUACCGGGCUAGAGUGUGUCAGAGGGAGGUGGAAUUCCGCGUGUAGCAGUGAAAUGCGUAGAUAUGCGGAGGAACACCGAUGGCGAAGGCAGCCUCCUGGGAUAACACUGACGCUCAUGCACGAAAGCGUGGGGAGCAAACAGG